rnacentral:rRNA from 1 species
ACGGAAGGCAGCAGUGAGGAAUAUUAGGCAAUGGAGGAAACUCUGACCUAGCGACGCCGCGUGAAGGAAGAAGGUUUUCGGAUUGUAAACUUCUUUUAUGAGGGACGAUAAUGACGGUACCUCAUGAAUAAGCCACGGCUAACUACGUGCCAGCAGCCGCGGUAAUACGUAGGUGGCGAGCGUUGUCCGGAUUUACUGGGUGUAAAGGGCGAGUAGGCGGGCUUGCAAGUCAGAUGUGAAAUACCGGAGCUCAACUCCGGGGCUGCAUUUGAAACUGUAAGUCUUGAGUGAUGGAGAGGCAGACGGAAUUCCCAGUGUAGCGGUAAAAUGCAUAGAGAUUGGGAAGAACACCAGUGGCGAAGGCGGUCUGCUGGACAUUAACUGACGCUGAGGAGCGAAAGUGUGGGGAGCAAACAGGAUUAGAUACCCUGGUA